ACAUACAGACACACGCACACACAUACAUACACACAUACAUACAAACAGACAGGUACACAUACAUACAGACACACACAUACAUACAAACAGUAAGGUACACAUACAUACAGACACACACAUACAUACAAACAGUAAGGUACACAUACAUACAAACACACACAUACAUACAAACAGACAGGUACACAUACACACAUACAGACAGACACAAGACACAAACACACACACAUACAUACAGAUAGACACACACACACACA